AGCUGGUCCAAUGGUAGCGGGUUAUCAGAACUUACUAAUAUGCGUGUCACUAAAGUUGGUACACAACCCCCAUUCCUAAAUUUGACUGGCUUUAA
rnacentral:Y_RNA from 1 species